rfam:Clonorchis sinensis DNA, scaffold: 191, strain: Henan.
GGUGGAGUAGUGGUAACACACUCGCCUCGCAUGUCAGAUAUCCGGGGUUCAAGUCCCUGCACUGCCA